ACGGCGAGUGAAGCGGCAACAGCUCAAAUUUGAAAUCUGGCCGCAAGGUCCGAGUUGUAAUUUGUAGAGGAUGUUUCGGGCACCGCCGCGGUGUAAGUUCCUUGGAACAGGACGUCAAAGAGGGUGAGAAUCCCGUCUUGGAUCGCGGUAGGGCUCGUGUGAAACUCCUUCGACGAGUCGACUUGUUUGGGAAUGCAGGUCAAAAUGGGAGGUAAAUUUCUUCUAAAGCUAAAUAUUGGCCCGAGACCGAUAGCGCACAAGUAGAGUGAUCGAAAGAUGAAAAGCACUUUGAAAAGAGAGUUAAACAGUAUGUGAAAUUGUUGAAAGGGAAGCGCAGGCAACCAGACUCGAGCGCGGGGUUCCCCUGGUUCUGCCAGGUCACUUCCCCGCGACCGGGCCAUCAUCAGGUUUGGGGGUCGGUCAAAGGCCCCGGGAAUGUACCUACUCCUUCGGGGGUAGACUUAUAGCCCGGGGUGUCAUGCGACCUCCCGGGCCUGAGGAACGCGCUUCGGCGAGGAUGAUGGCGUAAUGGUUGUCUGCGACCCGUCUUGAAACACGGACCAAGGAGUCUAACAUCUAUGCGAGUGUUUGGGUGUCAAACCCCGGCGCGGAAUGAAAGUGAACGGAGGUCGGAAGGCGCAAGCCCGCACGAUCGACCGAUCCUGAUGUCUUCGGAUGGAUUUGAGUAAGAGCAUAGCUGUUGGGACCCGAAAGAUGGUGAACUAUGCGUGAAUAGGGUGAAGCCAGAGGAAACUCUGGUGGAGGCUCGCAGCGGUUCUGACGUGCAAAUCGAUCGUCAAAUUUGCGUAUAGGGGCGAAAGAC
rnacentral:rRNA from 1 species